AUUGUCACAGGAUAUAGCUUUGAAGAAUCCUGCGCUUAGCCUGGGCUGGGAAAGAUGAGAUUCCCGGGCAGUUUUUCCAACGUCCGACUCACUCCUCAGGCUGCUCGGGGGUCUCCCCGUUGCAAUCUGCGCCUUGCGCAGGGAAAAAAGAAUGGAAAGUUGCUGGUCUUCGAAAGGGGCGGACUUCGUCGCCACUUUCAGCGGCUCGUCGCCUGCUGAAUCCACAGCAGGUCAAUACGUAUUUAUCGAGAAUCUAUUAUGUAAAAUGGAAUGUUCACAGCAUCUUCACCGGGAGAAGAUUCUAUCUUAAGGAAACUCUUUUCUCAUGCAUAAGAAGCACCUCCUUACCUGUUAAAAGUUUAAUCAUGAGAUUGCAGGAAUUCAGUCACAUCUUCAGGCUCCACUUCUAAUUCUAGUUCUCUUGGUAUUCCACCGCACCUGCAGUGACUUCCUCCACCGAAGUCUUGAACCUCUCAAAGUCAUCCAUGAGGGUUGGAAUCAACUUCUUCCAAAGUCCUGUUAAUGUUUGUAGUGUUAUGAAAUAUAUAUACAUAUAGGUUUUCAUACACAGGAAACAGAAUCUCUUUGACCUUCUCUUGCCUUCCUUUUACCUGCCUUCCUUUCACCUACCCCAAAGCAGGACUCUAAUCUUCUGCUUUUAUAAUUGUGGAUCAUAAGACUCAUUUCAGAGAGGGUCCCAACCCAUGGCCUGGGGGAAGGAAUGCUGAUAUAAUGAAGCUUCCAUAAAAAUCCAAGAGGACAGCUUCCUGAUAGCUGAACAAGUGGAGGUUUCUGGGGAAUGGCUACCUGGGGAGGGCAUGGGAGCUCCGUGUCCCUUCCUCCAUACCUCUCCCUGUGCAUCUCUUCAUCUGGAUCCUUCGUGAUAUCCUUUAUAAUAAACUGGUAAAUAUAAG
rnacentral:lncRNA from 1 species